CGAGGGGAGCGGAGCCCCGGGAACGCGCUGGCGGCGGGCCUCAGGGUUCAAGCGCUCGCCCCGCGGCUCAGUGAAGCUUUCGUUCAGCUGCGAGUAACGAUCUUCUGCCCAUUUAAAAAACCAGGUUGUGCCUUUCUGCCUGUGGACACUGCCAGGUAAGCAUUGUUAAAAUCUCCCCUCCCACCACCAUCAUGUGUCAGUCAGAGUCUCCCACAGACCCUGAACAGCUGCGAAGCUCUUCAUUGAGGUUUGAGCUCGGCAACAACGAUGAGUCUGAGGAGCCGCUAGGAGCAAUGGGAACACUUAUGGCCUGUGUGGUAAUGACAGAUCCAAAGACCAAGCACUCCAGAGGCUUUGGGUUUGUCAUGUACACCACUGUGGAGACGGUGGAUGCAGCCAUGAAGGCAGGGCCACACAAGGUGGAUGGAAACGUUGUGGAGCCAAAGAGGUCUCUCUCAAGAGAAGAUUCUCAAAGACAUGGUGCCCACUUCCCUGUGAAAAAGAUUUUUGUCAGCAUUAAAGAAGACACUGAAGAACAUCAUCUAAGAAAUUAUUCUGAACAGUAUGGAAAAACUGACGUGACUGACAUCAUGACUGACUGAGGCAGUGGCCACAAGAGAGGCUUUGCUUUUAUAACAUUUGAUGACCAUGACUCUGUACCCAAGACUGUCAUUCAGAAAUACCACACUGUGAAUGGCCCCAACUGGGAAGUAAGGAGAGCCCUGUUGAAGCAAGAGGGGGCAAGUGCUUUAUCUGGCCAAAGAAGUCGAGGUAGUUCUGGAAACUUUGGUGGUGGUCGUGGAGGUGGUUUCGGUGGGAAUGACAACCGUGGUCAUACAGGAAACUUAGAUGGCAGUCAAGAUGGUGGUGGAUAUGGUGACAGUGGGGAUGGAUAUCGUGGAUUUGGUAAUGUUAGAAGCAACUCUGGAGGUGGUGGAGGCUAUAAUGAUUUUGUCAGUUAUAAUAAUCAAUCUUUAAAAUCUGGACCCAUGACAGGAGGAUAUUUUGGAGGCUGAAGCUCGGCCCCUGUGGUGGUGGAGGCCAAUACUUUACUAAAUCAUGAAACCAAAGUGGCUACAGUGGUUCUAGCAGUAGCAGUAGCAAUGACAGUGGCGGGAGGUUUCCAUUGCUUCCAGGAAGCAGAGCUCAGUGGGAGAGGAGAGCCAGAG